AAUAUGUGAACCUCAUAAAAAAUUCCUGUGACUUAAAAGGCCUUUGAAGCAUUUGCUUUUAAUCACUGUCCUGAGAGGUAUUUUUGCAUAAAAUCUCAUAUAUAUCCCCAUUUUCAUCCAUUCUUCGCACCUUCUAGGAAUGAAAGGAACUUGAAGAAUAAAAUUGUUAUCAUUUUAUUCAUUGCUCAUGGCUUUCAUCUUACUUUAUGAUGAAUCUGUGAUGUUUUGAGCUUUAUGAUGAGUCUGACUUUCCAUGAACAAUGGAAACAGUGAAUUAAGGUGAUGGAAAGUGUCCCAAAAUUGUUGGUCCAAGAGGUGAGAGUCAGGAAAUACCUGGGCAGAUAACUUCCAGGCCUUUGGAUCAGCCUGAUUUUGUGACUUGUAGACUGAGCUACCAAAAAAGAAAGAGUUGUGUUUCCCUUCACUCUGGCUGUGUUGACCAGGGCCUCCUGCAUGCCCUGUCUCUUCCUCCAAGC
rnacentral:lncRNA from 1 species